AUUGAACGCUGGCGGCAUGCUUUACACAUGCAAGUCGAACGGCAGCACGGGGCAACCUGGUGGCGAGUGGCGAACGGGUGAGUAAUACAUCGGAACGUGCCCAAUCGUGGGGGGAUAACGUAGCGAAAGUUACGCUAAUACCGCAUACGAUCUACGGAUGAAAGCGGGGGAUCGCAAGACCUCGCGCGAUUGGAGCGGCCGAUGUCGGAUUAGCUAGUAGGUGGGGUAAAGGCCCACCUAGGCGACGAUCCGUAGCGGGUCUGAGAGGAUGAUCCGCCACACUGGGACUGAGACACGGCCCAGACUCCUACGGGAGGCAGCAGUGGGGAAUUUUGGACAAUGGGCGCAAGCCUGAUCCAGCCAUGCCGCGUGAGUGAAGAAGGCCUCGG
rnacentral:rRNA from 1 species